UACGGGAGGCAGCAGGGGGAAUAUUGCACAAUGGGCGAAAGCCUGAUGCAGCUAUGCCGCGUGUAUGAAGAAGGCCUUAGGGUUGUAAAGUACUUUCAUCGGGGAGGAAAAAACAAAACUAAUAAUUUUAUUUCUUGACGUUACCCGAAAAAGAAGCACCGGCUAACUCCGUGCCAGCAGCCGCGGUAAUACGGAGGGUGCUAGCGUUAAUCAGAAUUACUGGGCGUAAAGAGCACGUAGGUGGUUUUUUUAAGUCAGAUGUGAAAUCCCUGGGCUUAACCUAGGAACUGCAUUUUGAAACUGAAAUACUAGAGUAUCGUAGAGGGAGGUAGAAUUCUAGGUGUAGCGGUGAAAUGCGUAGAUAUCUGGAGGAAUACCUGUGGCGAAAGCGGCCUCUAAACGAUCUGACACUGAGGUGCGAAAGCGUGGGGAGCAAACAGGGAUUUAGAUA
rnacentral:rRNA from 1 species